rnacentral:rRNA from 1 species
UACGUAGGGUGCGAGCGUUAAUCGGAAUUACUGGGCGUAAAGCGUGCGCAGGCGGUUAUUUAAGUCAGGUGUGAAAGCCCUGGGCUUAACCUAGGAAUUGCGCUUGAGACUGGAUAGCUUGGAGUGCGGCAGAGGGAGGUGGAAUUCCACGUGUAGCAGUGAAAUGCGUAGAGAUGUGGAGGAACACCGAUGGCGAAGGCAGGUCUCUGGGCCACUACUGACGCUGAGAAGCGAAAGCAUGGGAGCGAACAGG